rnacentral:lncRNA from 1 species
CUCAAGAAGUCGGGAAAUACCGUCAGGAAUCCCUUCAACAUCAUCUUCGUCCGCUUCGAAUACAGGGAAUUCAAAAUUGGGAGAUGACGUCUGAUCAUUAUGUUUAAUGGGUUUGAGAAUCAACCUGCAUAAUGAUUUUGAUAUGAAAAGCUCUUUGAAAAUCAAACAAGACAAUCGUUAUGCAGAUGAAAAGAUUGCUUUUAUUCUUGUUU